UUAACUUAAUUUAAGCAAUUAUACCGUGAAACUGCGAAUGGCUCAUUAAAUCAGUUAUCGUUUAUUUGAUUAUACCUUACUACUUGGAUAACCGUGGUAAUUCUAGAGCUAAUACAUGCUGAAAAUCCCGACUUCGGAAGGGAUGUGUUUAUUAGAUAAAAAACCAAUGCCCUUCGGGGCUCUUUGGUGAUUCAUGAUAACUUUACGGAUCGCAUAGCCUUGCGCUGGCGACGGUUCAUUCAAAUUUCUGCCCUAUCAACUUUCGAUGGUAAGGUAUUGGCUUACCAUGGUUUCAACGGGUAACGGGGAAUUAGGGUUCGAUUCCGGAGAGGGAGCCUGAGAAACGGCUACCACAUCCAAGGAAGGCAGCAGGCGCGCAAAUUACCCAAUCCCGACACGGGGAGGUAGUGACAAUAAAUACUGAUACAGGGCUCUUUUGGGUCUUGUAAUUGGAAUGAGUACAAUUUAAACCUCUUAACGAGGAACAAUUGGAGGGCAAGUCUGGUGCCAGCAGCCGCGGUAAUUCCAGCUCCAAUAGCGUAUAUUAAAGUUGUUGCAGUUUAAAAAGCUCGUAGUUGAAACUUGGGCCUGGCUGGCGGGUCCGCCUCACCGCGUGCACUCGUCCGGCCGGGCCUUCCUUCUGAAGAACCUCAUGCCCUUCACUGGGCGUGUUGGGGAAUCAGGACUUUUACUUUGAAAAAAUUAGAGUGUUCAAAGCAGGCCUUUGCUCGAAUACGUUAGCAUGGAAUAAUAAAAUAGGGCGUGCGUUUCUAUUUGUUUGGUUUCUAGAGACGCCGCAUGAUUAACAGGAACAGUCGGGGGGCAUCAGUAUUCAGUUGUCAGAGGUUGAAAUUCUUGAAUUUUACCUGAAAGACAACCUACUGCGAAAGCCAUUUGCCAGGGAUGUUUUUCAUUAAUUCCAUGGAACCGAAAGGUUAGGGGGAUUCGAGAAACGAAUCAGAUUCCGGUCGUUGAUCUUUAA
rnacentral:rRNA from 1 species